GAGUUUGAUCCUGGCUCAGGAUGAACGCUGGCGGCGUGCCUAACACAUGCAGUCGAGCGAACCCUUCGGGGUGAGCGGCGGACGGGUGAGUAACGCGUGGGUAACCUGCCUAUACACACGGAUAACGUACCGAAAGGUACGCUAAUACGAGAUAAUAUAUUUUUAUCGCAGGUAGAAAUAUCAAAGCUCCGGCGGUAUAGGAUGGACCCGCGUCUGAUUAGCUAGUUGGUAGGUAAUGGCUUACCAAGGCGACGAUCAGUAGCCGACCUGAGAGGGUGAUCGGCCACAUUGAACUGAGACACGGUCCAAACUCCUACGGGAGGCAGCAGUGGGGAAUAUUGCACAAUGGGGAAAGCCUGAUGCAGCAACGCCGCGUGAGCGAUGAAGGCCUUCGGGUCGUAAAGCUCUGUCUCAAGGAAGAUAAUGACGGUACUUGAGGAGGAAGCCCCGGCUAACUACGUGCCAGCAGCGCGGUAAUACGUAGGGGGCUAGCGUUAUCCGGAAUUACUGGGCGUAAAGGGUGCGUAGGUGUUUCUUAAGUCAGAGGUGAAAGGCUACGGCUCAACCGUAGUAAGCCUUUGAAACUGAGAACUUGAGUGCAGGAGAGGAGAGUAGAAUUCCUAGUGUAGCGGUGAAAUGCGUAGAUAUUAGAGGAAUACCAGUUGCGAAGGCGGCUCUCUGGACUGUAACUGACACUG
rnacentral:rRNA from 1 species